rnacentral:rRNA from 1 species
AUUGAACGCUGGCGGCAUGCUUUACACAUGCAAGUCGAACGGCAGCACGGGAGCAAUCCUGGUGGCGAGUGGCGAACGGGUGAGUAAUACAUCGGAACGUGCCCAAUCGUGGGGGAUAACGCAGCGAAAGCUGUGCUAAUACCGCAUACGAUCUACGGAUGAAAGCAGGGGAUCGCAAGACCUUGCGCGAAUGGAGCGGCCGAUGGCAGAUUAGGUAGUUGGUGAGGUAAAGGCUCACCAAGCCGUCGAUCUGUAGCUGGUCUGAGAGGACGACCAGCCACACUGGGACUGAGACACGGCCCAGACUCCUACGGGAGGCAGCAGUGGGGAAUUUUGGACAAUGGGCGAAAGCCUGAUCCAGCCAUGCCGCGUGCAGGAUGAAGGCCUUCGGGUUGUAAACUGCUUUUGUACGGAACGAAAUGGCCUUUUCUAAUAAAGAGGGCUAAUGACGGUACCGUAAGAAUAAGCACCGGCUAACUACGUGCCAGCAGCCGCGGUAAUACGUAGGGUGCAAGCGUUAAUCGGAAUUACUGGGCGUAAAGCGUGCGCAGGCGGUUAUGUAAGACAGUUGUGAAAUCCCCGGGCUCAACCUGGGAACUGCAUCUGUGACUGCAUAGCUAGAGUACGGUAGAGGGGGAUGGAAUUCCGCGUGUAGCAGUGAAAUGCGUAGAUAUGCGGAGGAACACCGAUGGCGAAGGCAAUCCCCUGGACCUGUACUGACGCUCAUGCACGAAAGCGUGGGGAGCAAACAGG